AUUGAACGCUGGCGGCAGGCCUAACACAUGCAAGUCGAGCGGAUGAAGGGAGCUUGCUCCUGGAUUCAGCGGCGGACGGGUGAGUAAUGCCUAGGAAUCUGCCUGGUAGUGGGGGAUAACGUCCGGAAACGGGCGCUAAUACCGCAUACGUCCUGAGGGAGAAAGUGGGGGAUCUUCGGACCUCACGCUAUCAGAUGAGCCUAGGUCGGAUUAGCUAGUUGGUGGGGUAAAGGCCUACCAAGGCGACGAUCCGUAACUGGUCUGAAAGGAUGGUCAGUCACCCUGGAAGUGAGACACGGUCCAGACUCCUACGGGAGGCAGCAGUGGGAAAUAUUGGACAAUGGGCGAAAGCCUGAUCCAGCCAAGCCGCGUGUGUGAAGAAGGUCUUCGGAUUGUAAAGCACUUUAAGUUGGGAGGAAGGGCAGUAAGUUAAUACCUUGCUGUUUUGACGUUACCAACAGAAUAAGCACCGGCUAACUUCGUG
rnacentral:rRNA from 1 species